CGUGGUGCAAAACAAAUGACAGCACACUGUAGUAGCACAGAGAGGUGAAGCAGGUUUCUUGGUGAAUAUACUACUGCUUUUGGAUAUGUACGGAGAACUGGGCAUUUUCUUGAAAUUUCCCAGCAAAACAAGUACGUCAUGUCCUUUUCAUUAUUUUCUCCCUCAAAAACAAAGGAUAUGUCAUGAGCCGGUAGUUUGAACUCUGAGUUGAUGAGCGGAAACAGCAGGAAAUGCAUUCCAGGCAUCUUAGUUUGAAGUGUUUACCAUGGCCUGAUACAGCGUCACAUAUGUCCUUCUCCGAUGCCAACAUCAGCCAAAGGUAGGGCCAAAAACAAGAACACAAGGGAGUGGCAUGUAUAUUUCAUUUAUCUGCACUGCAAAAAUGAAAAGGUUCUUUCACUACGAACACCCCUUAUUCAAUGGAGUAGGUGGAGGAGAGGAAUCUGACGGCACAGAGGCUGCGUCUCCUAACGACACACAUGGAUUCCUGAGCCGUAAACACACACAAAAAAAGGGCUGUGAUCAACAAGUGUGGUCCGGCUGCCAGAACACGACUGCAGUGUGCUAAAAACUAUUCUGGAAAAACCUGCGGCUUUAAAGGAGAGCGGAGUAGAAAAGGGUGGUGUCACGCAAUGAGGGAUGUGUUUAUGGGUUUUGGGACUGUAUGUAUGUUUUAGUGAUUAUUGCAAUGCAAGAGUUGUGUCAAGGAACGUAAUCAAAGCAGCAGACAGCCAGAGGAGACAUUUCUGAGGACUGAGGGGUGGCUCCGCUCCUCCGCUCCAAAUCGAGGCUCAUAACCUCACCGCUCUCCUCCAUAAAGGCCCCUGUGUGGUUUCCGUCCUUUUGUCCUAAUCCAAGCCAGAGAUGUGAUUCAUGAAAAGCCCGAGUGUUUCAUUUCAAAGGAGCUACGUAAUAAAAAUGGUAAC